rnacentral:rRNA from 1 species
GUCUGUUUGCACUUCUAUAAACAGUCUGACCUGCCCACUGAAAUACUUUAAAGGCCGCGGUAUACUGACCGUGCUAAGGUAGCAUAAUAAUUAGUCUUUUAAUUGAAGGCUAGAAUGAACGGUCGGACAAGAAGCUCACUGUCUCAACUAUAAAUAUUGAACUUAACUUUAAAGUGAAAAGGCUUUAAUACCCCGGGGGGACGAUAAGACCCUAUGAAACUUUAUAUACACCAAUUAUAUUAACAAAUAGUCGUAUCAUAUUAAUUUAUUUGCAUGUCUAUUUCGUUGGGGCGACGAAAGUAUAAAUUAUAACUACUUUUAUUUUCCUAACAACCAUUUUUGCUUUAAUGAUCCUUCUUUUAGAUCUCAAGAAAAAAGUUACUCUAGGGAUAACAGCGUUAUUUUUUUUAAGAGUUCAUAUCGACAAAAAAGAUUGCGACCUCGAUGUUGAAUUAAAUUAUCCUUUUAUUGCAGCAAUUAAAAAGGAAGGUCUGUUCGACCUUUAAAAAUUUACAUGAUUUGAGUUCAAACCGGCGUGAG